UAACGCGAAGCAGUAACAAAAGAGGAGCAGAAAUUGACGAAUGUAAACAAGGGAGAAGGCAGUGUACAAGAACUGAUACCGUGAGAAUAUUGUGAGGGGGAUAUGGUCAAGGAAGGGAGGGUCCCCUCUUAAAAUAAACGUGAUGUCAGGCUCAGUCAAGGAAGCCACUUCUUUCAGACAGUCAUUUCUUAACUUGGAAAAAAGAUGCCUGGUUACUCAAUGCGCACAGCUGUUACUAAAAGUAGACAACAAAGACGAAGAAAUAAAACAAAACAAAACAACGGCGAGGAAGAUAGGCCUUCGCGAAGAGAAGAGGAAACCUAUGCGUGAUGAAGAAAUCUUUGCAAACUAUUUUCGUGCGCUUC